rnacentral:sRNA from 1 species
ACCAGGUGCAGUGGUGCACACCUGUAAUCCCAGCAGCUCAGGAGGCUGAGACAGGAGGAUCAUGAGUUCAAAGCCAGUCUCGGCAAAAAGUGAGGCACUAAGUAACUUAGUGAGACCUGUCUCUA